UAUAUAUAUAAACUUCGUAUAAUGUAUGCUAUACGAAGUUUAUAUAUAUAUAUAUAUUUGUUAAAAAUUAAUUGUACUUUUUUACAUAAUAUAAGCAGGGGGGGUUUUUUUAUGUUUGCAAGAAUUAUAAAUACAGCCAAGGGUUACAUUAUGAUAUACAAAACACAAUAAUAAUACUAAUAAUACUAACAGAAGGUAGAAAUAAAGGUGUGUGUGUGUGUGUUAUAUCUGAGAUGUUUUUCUUUAUUUUGUAGUUUGUGUUUGUUUCUACUGGCUCUUGUAAAGCUGCGCCAUCUAGUGUUUGAUUGGGGUUUUUCCUAUAUGCCUUAUAUUCGAUGAAGUCAAAAAUAAAGAGAUAGUUAGUUAACAAAUAGAAAAUAGUUGCUAUAUAUUCCCCACUCCUGUUAACUAAUAAAAAUAGUUAGUACUAAAAAGAAAGUAAUAGUAAGUAAUUAAUAGUAAGUAAUAGUAAAGUAAACAAUAUUUAAUUACUACACACACACACACACACACACACACGUAAUAUAAAUACAAAUAAUAUUAAUAGAAUAUAAUACACAUAUUUACUACACACACACACACACACACACACACAGAGAGAGAGAGAGAGAGUGUGCAGUAUGUGCCUUUCAAAAAAGGUACAUUCUAUUCUAUUCUAUUCUAUUCUAUUCUAAUUUUGCCCAGGUCACCUUUACUAUAUCAUUCUUGCCCUCUGACACUUUCUGGAGCCUGUUUCUCCUCCCUCUCUUCCUCCUCCUUCCUGCACAGACUGGGAAGUAAUCCUAUAUAUAUUAGUUGUUCACCCUGUACUUCUUUAAAGGCUCUUCUCAGCUCACUGACAUUGUGUCAUACAAACAAAGAAAAAUGCCAGAAGAAGUUCCUGCUCAGUGCAAGGCUCCCAAAGAUGAGCUGGACAAAUGUGUUCAGGGGAAGGGUGCAGAGGGCUGUAAGGAGCUGCUGGAAGCUUUUGAGGCCUGUGUGAAGGGGACCACGGCAGCCUCGUGAGAGGACAUGGAGUUACAUGUCCUUCAUUUCUGGGUCCUCCAGUGUCCUUCCAUUCCCUCACAUUGCUCUGGACUAAACCAUUCUGAGGACAGUGAAAGGGGAGCAAGAGCUGGAAAGCAGUGGAAUUGUUUAUUUUGAUCCUGGGAAGUCUUGUUGCUGUCCUCAUGUUAUUUGUAACAGUGGAAGAAAUAAGAACCCAGUUUUUAUUAUUAUUAUUAUUAUUAUUUUCCAGAUUUCACACUGUAAUAAAACGGUGCAUUUCAUUUGUUUUUCAAUAAAUCAAUAACCAUGACAAUUAAGAGGCAGCCUACUGUGUUCACUGAAUAACUGACACUAAACAGCUUCAUAAUAAUUAAUUGCAUGCACUGAUUGAUUUAACUUCACCUUUAACUGCAGUGGUCUGCAUACUUAUUUAACUUCACCUUUAACUGCAGUGGUCUGCAUACUUGCUGACUUAUGCCAAGCAGCACUGCUCAUGUGGUUUCCUGAAAGUGGGCCUGUAGACACAGCAACUGACUGUCAUCACCAUCUACUGAAGAAAUUCUGAUGGUGUUGACAAAACCAUUUUUCAUACUUUUCAUCACAUAUUAAUCAUGCAGCUGUCAUGUAGGUUUUAUAGUAUUGCUAGCUAGGGCCUAUGUAAAAUUAGAAAAGGGUUCACAGAAUUGUUGUAUUGGGGGUUAUAGGCACAAUAAUGUAAAUUAAUAAUAAGAAAUAUUAUUGUUAUUGUUAUUGUUAUUAUAAAACUACAUAUUAAAAAAACUAACAUAUUCAAAAAAAAAAAAAAAAGAUACAAAUAAAAUCGAUAGCUAAACUCAUAUGAGCCUGUGUGAACUCGUCAAUUAUUAGAACGUUGAUAUUGUUUUUUUAUUGUUUUUAUUUAGAUAUUUUAUUUGUGUUGUUAAAUUUUUUAAUGUUGAUUGUAAGACAUAAACG
rnacentral:lncRNA from 1 species